rnacentral:lncRNA from 1 species
AAACUGUAUUUACAAAGACAGGUGGUGGGCUGAAUUUGGAGUCCCAUGGGCCAUUGUUUGCUGACUCUUACUUUGGAGCUGGAUCAAAGAGUAUGUGAAUUUAGAGUUUGAGAGACACUGAGAAAUUGCUCUCUCUAGAAGUUUCACCAAGUAGGCUACCAAGCAAAAUAAUUGGGAAUAUCUUCCCAUUUAAAUUACUGACUGACAAAUUCUACUCUAGGACAGUAAUUAAGGACUCAGGCACUGAUAACAGAAUGCUUGGAUAUAAGUUUGGAUUCUGCCAAAUACCAGCUGUAAGACGUUGGGAAUAUUACUUUUCUGAGACUCA